rnacentral:rRNA from 1 species
UUCCGGUUGAUCCCGCCGGACCUGACUGCUAUCGGAUUGAUACUAAGCCAUGCGAGUCAUUGUAGCAAUACAAGGCAGACGGCUCAGUAACGCGUAGUCAACCUAACCUAUGGACGGGAAUAACCUCGGGAAACUGAGAAUAAUGCCCGAUAGAACACUAUACCUGGAAUGGUUUGUGUUCCAAAUGAUUUAUCGCCAUAGGAUGGGACUGCGGCCUAUCAGUUUGUUGGUGAGGUAAUGGCCCACCAAGACUAUUACAGGUACGGGCUCUGAGAGGAGUAGCCCGGAGAUGGGUACUGAGACACGGACCCAGGCCCUAUGGGGCGCAGCAGGCGAGAAAACUUUGCAAUGUGCGAAAGCACGACAAGGUUAAUCCGAGUGAUUUGUGCUAAACGAAUCUUUUGUUAGUCCUAGAAACACUAACGAAUAAGGGGUGGGCAAGUUCUGGUGUCAGCCGCCGCGGUAAAACCAGCACCUCAAGUGGUCAGGAUGAUUAUUGGGCCUAAAGCAUCCGUAGCCGGCUCUGUAAGUUUUCGGUUAAAUCUGUACGCUCAACGUACAGGCUGCCGGGAAUACUGCAGAGCUAGGGAGUGGGAGAGGUAGACGGUACUCGGUAGGAAGGGGUAAAAUCCUUUGAUCUAUUGAUGACCACCUGUGGCGAAGGCGGUCUACCAGAACACGUCCGACGGUGAGGGCUGAAAGCUGGGGGAGCAAACCGGAUUAGAUACCCGGGUAGUCCCAGCUGUAAACUAUGCAAACUCAGUGAUGCAUUGACUUGUGGUCAAUGCAGUGCUGCAGGGAAGCCGUUAAGUUUGCCGCCUGGGAAGUACGUACGCAAGUAUGAACUUAAAGGAAUUGGCGGGGGAGCACCACAAAGGGUGAAGCCUGCGGUUCAAUUGGAGUCAACGCCGGGAAUCACUAGUG